UACGGAGGGGCUAGCGUUGUUCGGAAUUACUGGGCGUAAAGCGCACGUAGGCGGCUUUGUAAGUUAGAGGUGAAAGCCCGGGGCUCAACUCCGGAAUUGCCUUUAAGACUGCAUCGCUAGAAUUGUGGAGAGGUAAGUGGAAUUCCGAAGUGUAGAGGUGAAAUUCGUAGAUAUUCGGAAGAACACCAGUGGCGAAGGCGACUUACUGGACACAUAUUGACGCUGAGG
rnacentral:rRNA from 1 species